UUAUUAGUUUUUAAUUAGAAUUUUUAAACUCUUGGUAAAAUGCUAAACUCCAUCUUGCCUGAGUGGAAUUUGCCAUCUGUCUAUCCUGUCCAGUCUUUUUUACCUCUGAUUUACAUUCUUGUAUGUACAUGGUUGGUUGUGUUUGCAGAGCCAGGAGAAUCAGGACAUAGAACUUUAUUUUGUAUUUGGGAUUAUUUGAUCAACCACUUCAUCCAGAGAACACUGGAUUUUCUAAGUUGCCUGCUAAAGUAGGUCAAAUUCUCGAGGUAUUUUUUUCACCACACCCUCUAUUUUCCAGGAGACUGACUCAGGGAUCUGUUCACUCUCCAGGUAUCCUGAUGGCUUCAUUGAGUACACACACUCGGCCUUCUUCGUGCCUGUCUUCCCCUUGCUGCCUCGGAUGUCGCCAUAGCUCCAUGGGAAGCCUGGGGGGAGAGGACACUUGGACCCCUAGUCCAGGUGAUUUAAGUAGCUAUUCGAUACAACAAAUGAGAGCGAAGGGGACAGAACAGGAAAAAUAAAGGG